UAGUUUUUUUAGAAAUAAAUUUAAUUUACAAGUUUUUGAUUUUUUAGUUAUUUGUUUAAUUGAGAAAUUUAAUAAUUUGAAUAUUCUAAGGGAUAAGCUUUGGAAUAAAUUGUCAAAAAUUAAUAGUGAAUAUUAUAAAAUGUAUGCUUAGAAUUAGCAAUCGUUAAAAAGUUUGUUAUAAAUUAUUUUAUAGUCAGUAUAUUAUUUAUUAGAUUUUGAUUAAUUUAUAAAAAUUUUUUUAUUAAUUUUUUAUAAAAAGUAAUAAUGGUAGAAUUAGUAUAUUUUUAUGUUUAGAUAAUUUAAUAUGAUAAGUUUAUGUAAAGAACUCGGCAAAUUUUUUACCCGCCUGUUUAACAAAAACAUGUCUUUUUGAGUUAUUUUUAAAGUCUGACCUGCCCACUGAAAUUAAUUAAAUGGCCGCAGUAUUCUAACUGUGCAAAGGUAGCAUAAUCAUUAGUCUUUUAAUUGAAG
rnacentral:rRNA from 1 species